rnacentral:rRNA from 1 species
UACGUAGGGUGCAAGCGUUAAUCGGAAUUACUGGGCGUAAAGCGUGCGCAGGCGGUUAUGUAAGACAGUUGUGAAAUCCCCGGGCUCAACCUGGGAACUGCAUCUGUGACUGCAUAGCUAGAGUACGGUAGAGGGGGAUGGAAUUCCGCGUGUAGCAGUGAAAUGCGUAGAUAUGCGGAGGAACACCGAUGGCAAAGGCAAUCCCCUGGACCUGUACUGACGCUCAUGCACGAAAAGCGUGGGGGAGCAAACAGG